GGUAGAAUGGCUGAAUAUUAAGCGGCGGAUUGUAAUCCCGAAAAAAAAGGUGAAAGUCCUUUUUUUACC
rnacentral:tRNA from 1 species